GACUUCCGCCGUUGGUAGCGGCACAUUAAACCAAUGGAGAAGGAUAAAACGCAAAUGCCGAAGAAGAUCACGAGAGGCAGCAGCACUGUGGUGCCUGGAGGCGAGGCAGAUUGUGCUGAAAGAAGAGAUCGCACAGGUACGUAGGGGCCCUCCCACAAGAGGAAGACAGGGGAAAAAGGAAAAAGAAGAAAACUCCACACUGUUGGAAAUUUCUGCUUUCCAAACAUUUUAGCUAUCUCUUGAAAUAAUGGAAAUUAAACCUCUCCUGACUCAGAGGAAUGAAACGCAAGCCAA